GAUGAACGCUGGCGGCGUGCUUAACACAUGCAAGUCGAACGGGAUCCAAGGGGUGCUUGCACUUUUUGGUGAGAGUGGCGAACGGGUGAGUAACACGUGAGUAACCUGUCCUUUUCUUUGGGAUAAGCAUUCGAAAGGGUGUUUAAUACCUUAUGUUCUGUCUGCCUCGCAUGGGGUGGGUGGGAAAGGCUUUGGCCGGAUUUGGGUGGGCUCGCGGUCUAUCAGCUUGUUGGUGGGGUGAUGGCUUACCAAGGCUUUGACGGGUAGCCGGCCUGAGAGGGUGGUCGGUCACAUUGGGACUGAGAUACGGCCCAGACUCCUGCGGGAGGCAGCGGUGGGGGAUAUUGCACAAUGGGCGAAAGCCUGAUGCAGCGACGCCGCGUGGGGGAUGAAGGCCUGCGGGUUGUAAACUUCUUUUGCUCUGAACAAGGCAUGCCAGUGGGUGUGUUGAGUGUAGGGGUUGAUUAGCGCCGGCUAACUACGUG
rnacentral:rRNA from 1 species